ensembl:lncRNA
GGGAAAUGCAAUAAAGAAUUGUCCAGCAUCCCAACAAGAUUUUCCAAAUCUUCCACCAGACAUUCAAGAUAUGCUCAGCAGGAGGUUAAGUACUAGAGUCUGAAUGCAGGCUGCUAAUGCUGGAUUCCUCCAGGUUUUCUGUGAGAGUUCCUCACCUCCUUGUCUCAUGCCAGGCCAUUUCACAGGGAAUUAUUUGACGCCACACUUAUAAAUAAGGUCAAACUCAUUGGUUGCCACUAACCCUUGAGUAGCUCACAGAGUGUUGAUCCAAUCAGUGAUGAGUUCCUCUUAUAUCAUCAUCCAAUACACCUGUCCUGUCCAUGAGGACAACGACAGUCUUUGAAACACCCUAAUGAAGGAGAGACACUGUCUUUGAUGACACUUCGAAAUAGCAAUUUAGACGUCCAAUUAAAAAAAGAGUGAUUUCUAUGAAGCUUGUAGAAAAUGAUAUGGAGCAAUGAAUGAACAUGAAGAUAUGCAGUAUGCCUGACAUGGAGUGAAGAGCCUUGAUCCUAAUAUAGGAACGCGACAGGUUGUCUAUAGCUGCUUUUGCACUACAAUGGCAGAGAUGACAGAGACCUUGCGGCUCACCAAGCCUACAAUAUUUACCAGCUGGACUUUUUCAGAAAAAGGAUGCUGAUCCUCUGGGCUACAGUAUUUCUCCAUGCUCCUGGUUGCAUGUCCUCUCUCAGAGGUAGUCCACUGCUUCACAAGGCAGAGACUCUAAGCUCGACACAUGUCCAUCUUGGAGCUGUAUUGUCCAAAGUUACAUCAUUACAUAUAAUAUAGGGCAACUCAUUAAAGUGGGCACAAAGACAAAGUAACAAAUUACACCCAUACAGAAGGCACUGAAAAGGAAGCACAAUUCAAGUACAAAAUUACAGGCAGCACAGUUCAGAUCUUUUAACCAGACUACUACAUCCAAUUCCGGGUCACACUACGGAAAGGAAACAAGAACCAGAGAGAAGCUGGAGAUGGACAGAUGAUUAACAGAACUCAAAAUCAAGUCACUAAAGAAAUGCCAAAAGAAAUGGGAUUAGUUGGCCCAAAGAAGAGAAUGGUGAGAAAAGAAUCAUAACAGUGAGGAUGUCAAAUUCUACAUUUGUUGAUAGGUUAAAUUCCUACUGACAAAAUAAUGGCAGCCUGAACUAAUAUUCCAUAAAACGUACAUCUAAUGAAAUAAAUGUGAUUGUGGAGACUUCCAUUCCUGUCUUGGACCACGAACUAGACCCUCAAAAGAUAAUCACUUGUCAAAUAUGGUACUAUAAACCUUCAACUGGGGGAUUAUAGGAAUGUUCCUUUUUCAGAAACAUCUGGCAUUAUGUAAGUUACCAGAAAAGGUGUGCUAUUAAUGUGCUGAGGUUCAGUGAUAUUCAAGUAACGAAAAGGUAAUGGAAAUUUCACAACCACAUGCCUUUCUACAGGACCAAAUAGGGCAAAAUGGGCUUAAAUUACAGAAUUUGUGUUACAUUCAAGAAUGUUGGCACUGUGGGAUUUUAAUUACUGUAAAAGAUUACUGAGGUUAAAGGAAUCUUCCCAGGACACCAUUCAAUUAGAAUACUCAGUCAGAAACUAUCUGGAUGUUUUCUUGAAGCAUGGAGAAUGGGUCUCAAACACACUUCUUCCAUUGCUAUGAUUCUGUAAUUUUAACUCUCCCAGUUCUUAGAUGAGUAAGAGAGUCUGCAGCCAUUGCUCACUUUCGUUUUGUCUUCAAGGUGGUCAAUGUGCACACAACUACAAUCUAAGAUAAACUUUAAUAUCCCAAAUUAAAAUUUGAUUGUAACUUUAAUUACAACUUUUUAAAUUACAGAGAUAAAAAAAUGGGAAAACAGGCAUAGCUUCCAUUUUUUAUGAGCCUAAGUACCUUAUUACUUCAAAAUGUCCAACACUUGUACACAGUAAGAGAACAAAAUAAAGUAUAUUUCCUAUUAGGUUUGUGAAUCC